rnacentral:sRNA from 1 species
AGGGAAGGAUGAGAAGCUUCGAUUAAGGUUCGACUCGAGCGGAAGCGAGAGAACGUUGCCAACGGCAACGGCCCGAAGGGCGCGACGCGCCGAGUCAUCCUUCCCCUACCAUAA